CCUACGGUGGGCAGCAGUGGGGGAUAUUGCACAAUGGGGGAAACCCUGAUGCAGCGACGCCGCGUGUGGGAAGACGGUCCUCUGGAUUGUAAACCACUGUCCCCAGGGACGAAGAUGACGGUACCUGGGGAUGAAGCUCCGGCUAACUACGUGCCAGCAGACGCGCUAUUACGUAGGGAGCGAGCGUUGUCCGGAAUUACUGGGUGUAAAGGGAGCUUAGGCGGGACUGCAAGUUGGGUGUCAAAUCUACCGGCUCAACCGGGAGCCGCACGCAAAACUGCAGUUCUUGAGUGAAGUAGAGGUAGGCGGAAUUCCUAGUGUAGCGGUGAAAUGCGUAGAUAUGAGGAGGAACACCAGUGGCGAAGGCGGCCUGCUGGGCUUUUACUGACGCUGAGGCUCGAAAGUGUGGGGAGCAAACAGGAUUAGAUACCCGAGUAGUC
rnacentral:rRNA from 1 species